rnacentral:misc_RNA from 1 species
CGCACAUUGCGCCCAUUAGUAUUCUAGUGGGCAUGCCUGUUCGAGCGUCAUUUCAACCCUUAAGCCUAGCUUAGUGUUGGGAAUCUACGUAUGCACAGUUACUUGUAAUUGUGUUGUAGUUCCUGAAAUCAAACGGCGGAUUUGUAGUAUCCUCUGAGCGUAGUAAAUUCUUUUCUCGCUUUUGUUAGGUGCUGUAACUCUUGCCGCUAAACCCCCAAUUUUUAAUGGUUGACCUCGGAUCAGGUAGGAAUACCCGCUGAACUUAA